rnacentral:rRNA from 1 species
AGUCGAGCGGACAGAUGGGAGCUUGCUCCCUGAUGUUAGCGGCGGACGGGUGAGUAACACGUGGGUAACCUGCCUGUAAGACUGGGAUAACUCCGGGAAACCGGGGCUAAUACCGGAUGCUUGUUUGAACCGCAUGGUUCAGACAUAAAAGGUGGCUUCGGCUACCACUUACAGAUGGACCCGCGGCGCAUUAGCUAGUUGGUGAGGUAACGGCUCACCAAGGCGACGAUGCGUAGCCGACCUGAGAGGGUGAUCGGCCACACUGGGACUGAGACACGGCCCAGACUCCUACGGGAGGCAGCAGUAGGGAAUCUUCCGCAAUGGACGAAAGUCUGACGGAGCAACGCCGCGUGAGUGAUGAAGGUUUUCGGAUCGUAAAGCUCUGUUGUUAGGGAAGAACAAGUGCCGUUCAAAUAGGGCGGCACCUUGACGGUACCUAACCAGAAAGCCACGGCUAACUACGUGCCAGCAGCCGCGGUAAUACGUAGGUGGCAAGCGUUGUCCGGAAUUAUUGGGCGUAAAGGGCUCGCAGGCGGUUUCUUAAGUCUGAUGUGAAAGCCCCCGGCUCAACCGGGGAGGGUCAUUGGAAACUGGGGAACUUGAGUGCAGAAGAGGAGAGUGGAAAUUCCACGUGUAGCGGUGAAAUGCGUAGAGAUGUGGAGGAACACCAGUGGCGAAGGCCGACUCUCUGGUCUGUAACUGACGCUGAGGAGCGAAAGCGUGGGGAGCGAACAGGAUUAGAUACCCUGGUAGUCCACGCCGUAACGAUGAGUGCU